GAUGAACGCUGGCGGCGUGCCUAAUACAUGCAAGUCGAGCGAACGGACGAGAAGCUUGCUUCUCUGAUGUUAGCGGCGGACGGGUGAGUAACACGUGGAUAACCUACCUAUAAGACUGGGAUAACUUCGGGAAACCGGAGCUAAUACCGGAUAAUAUUUUGAACCGCAUGGUUCAAAAGUGAAAGACGGUCUUGCUGUCACUUAUAGAUGGAUCCGCGCUGCAUUAGCUAGUUGGUAAGGUAACGGCUUACCAAGGCAACGAUGCAUAGCCGACCUGAGAGGGUGAUCGGCCACACUGGAACUGAGACACGGUCCAGACUCCUACGGGAGGCAGCAGUAGGGAAUCUUCCGCAAUGGGCGAAAGCCUGACGGAGCAACGCCGCGUGAGUGAUGAAGGUCUUCGGAUCGUAAAACUCUGUUAUUAGGGAAGAACAUAUGUGUAAGUAACUGUGCACAUCUUGACGGUACCUAAUCAGAAAGCCACGGCUAACUACGUGCCAGCAGCCGCGGUAAUACGUAGGUGGCAAGCGUUAUCCGGAAUUAUUAGGCGUAAAGCGCGCGUAGGCGGUUUUUUAAGUCUGAUGUGAAAGCCCACGGCUCAACCGUGGAGGGUCAUUGGAAACUGGAAAACUUGAGUGCAGAAGAGGAAAGUGGAAUUCCAUGUGUAGCGGUGAAAUGCGCAGAGAUAUGGAGGAACACCAGUGGCGAAGGCGACUUUCUGGUCUGUAACUGACGCUGAUGUGCGAAAGCGUGGGGAUCAAACAGGAUUAGAUACCCUGGUAGUCCACGCCGUAAACGAUGAGUGCUAAGUGUUAGGGGGUUUCCGCCCCUUAGUGCUGCAGCUAACGCAUUAAGCACUCCGCCUGGGGAGUACGACCGCAAGGUUGAAACUCAAAGGAAUUGACGGGGACCCGCACAAGCGGUGGAGCAUGUGGUUUAAUUCGAAGCAACGCGAAGAACCUUACCAAAUCUUGACAUCCUUUGACAACUCUAGAGAUAGAGCUUUCCCCUUCGGGGGACAAAGUGACAGGUGGUGCAUGGUUGUCGUCAGCUCGUGUCGUGAGAUGUUGGGUUAAGUCCCGCAACGAGCGCAACCCUUAAGCUUAGUUGCCAUCAUUAAGUUGGGCACUCUAAGUUGACUGCCGGUGACAAACCGGAGGAAGGUGGGGAUGACGUCAAAUCAUCAUGCCCCUUAUGAUUUGGGCUACACACGUGCUACAAUGGGCAAUACAAAGGGUAGCGAAACCGCGAGGUCAAGCAAAUCCCAUAAAGUUGUUCUCAGUUCGGAUUGUAGUCUGCAACUCGACUACAUGAAGCUGGAAUCGCUAGUAAUCGUAGAUCAGCAUGCUACGGUGAAUACGUUCCCGGGUCU
rnacentral:rRNA from 1 species